GACUAGCCGACCUUCCCAAAACUUAAAAGCUUGGAGGACCUUCGUUUCAGCUUUGUCCUUGCAUCGAAAUAUCAGAACAGGAGAGAGAGAGAGAGAGAGAGAGGGCGACUUGGGCUGAGCACGAAAUCGAAUAAGAGACGAGGGCUAGGCUUGGCGUUCUUCAUCGAGGUUCGAGAGAUCGGGAUAGGGCUUUGUAAUAACUUUUUGGAGAAGGUCAAAGACCCUUUUUGAAUAGAAGGUACUUGAACGGAGUCUUUCAGUCCUUGGUGAUCUUUUUGAUAGAGACUCAUUGUGCAGAGGUUGUAAAGAGAUUAAAAAUACUCUCCAAUGUACAGCUAUGUCAUGUCUAGAGGUUGAGCUAAUAGAACAUUUAUAAUGUACUCUGUAUGUUGUAGUUUGUUAUGAAUGAUCAAACAAAUGUAUGUUGUAGUUUGCUCUGAAUGAUCAAACGAAUGUAUAAAGUCCUUUUGUUUUAAUCUA